GCACGAGAUCCGUCUACAUCACCCUCUCCUACAAGACGCGGACUGCAGGGAUGGGGCGGGGACAUCACGCACACCCUGGGACGACCAGAUCGAGCACGACCGCAGCGGAAGAGCCACCUCUGCCUCGUCGUGCAGGAGAUGCCGCCUCUCUGUCAUCAUGGAUUGAAGGAAGCGGCAGUGAUGGUUGUUCCAGGUGGUCGGCAUGCCAUGGUUGUUCCGGAUGCGGUGAUGUUUGAUUUUAAGUAGUGCUCACCUAUUUUCUGUUUUUGUUCAGAUUAGUAUUUGAAUCAUCGACAAACCAGUCAAUUGCUUGUUCUUUGGAUCCUAUAAUGGCACACAUUAUGCAUAACUUAACUGGCUCUGUAUCGGAUGUUUGAUCUGAACUACUUACACACGAACAUUGCAGGCCGAAGGUCAAUAUUAUGACUAAACAGGCACGUGGACUCGGUCGUGAAGUUUAUGCGGUAUCACCAUGUAAUGCACAUCUUCUGCAUGCCGCUGGUCAUGAUGGUGCUUGCCAAGCAUUGGACGACCAUGAAGUACAACCUCAGCUCUCUCAUGUUCAUCAGCUCCAUUGGGAUGCCGGUCCGCUGAUGUGAAGAACUACCUUGGUGCCAAGAUGUUUCAGGGCACUCUUGGUGGGCAGCAUCUACAACGUCCUCUUAUCCUCGCUUGCUGAAUAUGGGACUGGUCCUCUAGCCUGAUAGUCACCAGUCCAGCACAACAAUUCCUCCCCUCCUCAUCGAAGCAUGGAAUAAGACAAAUCUUGAUUCAUGUAUAGAGUGACCGGCUCCUCUAGCCUGACAGUGUAGCCAAUUGCCGGUUAGCUGAGUAUCUGGUUAUUUGAGUAGAACAUCUAUGUUUCUCCUCUUUAUGUAGACCCGUUUAAUUUGAUAUUACUCACAGAAAAAUGUAAAAUCAUUGCCUACAUUUCCGAAAUUCAUCUCAUUUCGUGGUUUA